rnacentral:lncRNA from 1 species
AUCAGGCCACUGCACUCCAGCCGGGGCAACAGAGCGCAACUCCGUCUCAAAACAAACAAACAAAACAAAACAAAAAAAACUUAUAGACAAGUACAAAAUGAGAAGAAAAAGUCCCUUUCCCUUCAUGCCUCUACUUCCUGCUGUAUUCUCAAAGGUCUUGGAGGAAGGCAUCCUUCUAUUCUACUGAUCAGAAAGCUGGACAAAGUCCCACUGCCAGGCUACACAGUUGGUGCCAUUUGCGGAGGCCCACCCGCAGCGGUCACGUGAAGGACCGAGCGCCGCGCGCCCAGGCGGGGCCUCCGGCCUGCACGAGGAGGGCAGAGUCCGUUGCGGCUGCCGCCCCGACGCCCGCGCAUCCCCGCUCGCCGCGCCCGCCGCCGCGAUGUCCGGGGCCGGCCUAGCCGCGGUGGUGAGCUGCCUGCGCCCGCAGCCCGGCGAGGAGCCGCAGACCCAUGAGGACCUUCUCCUGGCAGCUGCCUAUGUUUUGGAUGCCCAGUACAACAGAAAUGUUCCAUUUGAAACUCACCUCAGGCCAUCAGACGUUACUAUUUUUAUAACCACUAGACAACGCAGGUUGCCGCAUACUUCUUUAUUUGUGUAGACCUCGCUCUUGCCCUGUUUGAAGAGUCUGAGUUGCUUCCCCUGCCUUUCUUGGCCACCUCAAUAGCAGAAGUACUCUGCCUGACUGCAUACUUUGGCAGACUGGUACAUUUUGCAAAAGUCACUCCUCAAAUGGUUUUCUGGAAGGAUACAAAAGACAUCUGCACCAUGGUAACCACAGUGCUGACCUUGAUCGAUCUGAUUAUCUGUGGGUCCCUGGAAGCUAUUAACAUCCACAGCAUCAGAUGGUCAAGGGCCUUAAGGCCGGUCUUCCUAAUUAACUUCCCUGAAAGUCGUCAGAUCUGCAGGGCUUUCCAAAGCCUCCAGAACACCCUGCCCAAUAUCCUCUAUGUCUUCUAUUGUUCAUGUUCAGUGUGCUGAUGUUCUGCCUGAUGGCCUUGAAGCUUUUUGGGAAUGGUCUGAAAACAGCAGAGGGAUCGCCUUAGUUUGAAAACAUUCUGGAGAUAGCAUUUGAGCUCUACGUGCUGGUCACUACAGCGAACAGCCCUGACAUCAUCAUGCCUGUCUAUGACUUCAACUGGUGGUAUUCUUUGUACUUUAUAAUCUACAUUAUCAUUAAUACCUACAUCUUCAAGUCUGUCUUUCUGGCCAUGGUGUACAGCAAUUAUAGGAAGCAUU